AUAGUAAAAUUCCUUGGAAACCUGCAAUUUCAGAGUCAUUUUCCUUAAGCAAAAGAGGCUCUUCUGCCUCACAGAGACAUCGCUGCAGCUCAAAUUCGAGGAGUCUCUGGUGGAGGAACCAGGGUUUGGGGAGGAUGAGGUGGGAGAGGUUCCCUGAGAUCCUCUCAAGGGAGUGACCAGAGGCAGGGGGCUGCUGGGCAUGGCCAGAGGUACCCACUGGUGGCCAGGGUCUCCCUCUUUGAGCUGGGCCUCCAGCCUAGAAUAGUCAAUGACCCAGCAGACCUUUCCACCAGAAUGGCCCCUACCACUCAAAUCUAAUGUCUUGAACAGAGUCGGUUGCUUUCCUCACAGAAUCUGUUCUGUUACUGUUUCAAUCUCUCUUUAGUGUCUGUAGUGUGGCAGACACAAUUUCUUGGGUUGGGGUCCAGUGGGCAACAAAGAUGCACUACCUAGCUCGUGAAACCUCCUCUCUAGCAGGGAAAGCUGAUCUGAAAUGUCGACCUUGUCCUGAGUGUCAUAAAUAACAUUAAGAAGAGUCAUGAUCACUGAGUCCUUACUGUCUACCAGUCGCCAUUGACCUCACCAUCAGACCUGGGACAGGGAGCCCAGACUUAGUCUGGAGGGUCAAGAACGGCUCUGAGUCCUCUUCCUCAGCCCUGUGAGGUUGUCCGUGUUGGCCCCAGAUGCACUUUGGAAACUGAGCUCUCUGCCUCUUCUGUCCACACGGUCGUCUCUAAUGUCACCAAGGCAUGGCGCCGCCUCUGCCACCUGCCCCUCCUCUCCAUUCUUCCUGGCCUCUCUGGUUCAGCAGUCUGUCUCCCACACCUGCAAUAUCACAACAGCCCUGGCCUCUCUGCCUCCAGCCUCCCUCCUGUCCUAACUGGUCUGCACAUCUCCUCCAGACGAACUUUCCAGAAAGGCUGCUUCCUGCUCAACGACUCAGUCACUUAUUCAACAAAGAUUCAUCAAAGGGUCUACCUCACCCAAAAACCUCAGGUUGUAUAUAUUUCAGAAGAGAAGGUGAUGCCACCUGCAUCCCUUGACUAAAGACAGCCCAACCUCCUUUGUCUGACACCCCUUCCCUCCGCCCAGAGGCCAGCCUUCCAGAUUCAUCUCCACAGUGGCCUAUGCACCAUCUCCCCCAAGCACAACAUUUGCCUUCUUGGGGCCCCUGCUCCUCUCCCAUUUCUACUUAUCAUUCAGUGAUAAGGCCCUCAUCAAAUAUGACCUUUCAGAGUUCCUGUUGUGGCUCAGCAGUAGUGAACCUGACUAGUGUCCAUGAGGACAAGGGUUCGAUCCCUGACCCUGUUCAGUGGGUUAAGGAGCCAGCAUUGCUGUGGGCUGUGGUGUAGGUCACAGAUGUGGCUCGGCUCCCGAUUCGCUGUGGCUACAGUGUAGGCCAGUGUCUGCAACUCUGAUUGGACCCCUAGCCUGGAAACUUCCUUGUGCCACAGGUGUGGCCCU
rnacentral:lncRNA from 1 species